rnacentral:rRNA from 1 species
UACAGAGGUCUCAAGCGUUGUUCGGAAUCACUGGGCGUAAAGGGUGCGUAGGCGGCACGGUAAGUCAGAGGUGAAAUCCCGGAGCUCAACUUCGGAAUUGCCUCUGAUACUGCCGUGCUUGAGGACUGGAGAGGAGAUUGGAAUUCACAGUGGAGCAGUGAAAUGCGUAGAUAUUGUGAGGAACACUAGUGGCGAAGGCGAAUCUCUGGACAGUUCCUGACGCUGAGGCACGAAGGCCAGGGGAGCAAACGGG